ensembl:snoRNA
AAGACUAUACUUUCAGGGAUCAUUUCUAUAGUCUGUUACUAGAGAAGUUUCUCUGAAUGUGUAGAGUACCCGAAACCACAAGAAGGAAACACAGUGUCCCUUCCUGAGGGUGAAGCGGCUCCGUAUGUUGUUUCUCCAGCUGCCCUUUGCUAUUGAUGAUCGUUUUUCUCCUCCUUUGCGGAGUAAGAGGGAAGGGACACCCGUUGAGUGGUU